GGCCAGACUCCUACGGGAGGCAGCAGUGGGGAAUAUUGCACAAUGGGGGAAACCCUGAUGCAGCGACGCCGCGUGAGUGAAGAAGUAUUUCGGUACGUAAAGCUCUAUCAGCAGGGAAGAAAGAAAGUCCUUUGGACUUUGGACGGUACCUGACCAAGAAGCCCCGGCUAACUACGUGCCAGCAGCCGCGGUAAUACGUAGGGGGCAAGCGUUAUCCGGAUUUACUGGGUGUAAAGGGAGCGUAGACGGCGAUGCAAGUCUGAAGUGAAAGGCGGGGGCCCAACCCCCGGACUGCUUUGGAAACUGUAUAGCUGGAGUGCAGGAGAGGUAAGUGGAAUUCCUAGUGUAGCGGUGAAAUGCGUAGAUAUUAGGAGGAACACCAGUGGCGAAGGCGGCCUGCUGGACGAUGACUGACGCUGAGGCUCGAAAGCGUGGGGAGCAAACAGGAUUAGAUACCCGCGUA
rnacentral:rRNA from 1 species